rnacentral:rRNA from 1 species
UACGUAGGGACCAAGCGUUGUUCGGAUUUACUGGGCGUAAAGGGCGCGUAGGCGGCGUGGUAAGUCACUUGUGAAAUCUCUGAGCUUAACUCAGAACGGCCAAGUGAUACUGCUGUGCUAGAGUGCAGAAGGGGCAAUCGGAAUUCUUGGUGUAGCGGUGAAAUGCGUAGAUAUCUGGAGGAACACCGGUGGCGAAGGCGGCAUCCUGGACCGGCAUUGACGCUGAGGCGCGAAAGCCAGGGGAGCAAACGGG